GUGAUGACUUUGAGGAGAUUCAGAGGUUAUAAGGUCAGUUAUCUUCUGAAUUUGAGAUGAAAGAUUUGGGCACUUUGAAAUAUUUCUUGGGAAUUGAAGUUGCUCGUGGGAAGGAUUGUAUUGUGUUGAGUCAGAGGAAGUAUGUUCUCGACUUGCUGGCAGAAAUAAGUAUGCUUGACUGUCAACCUGUUGAUACUCCUAUUGAGCAAAACCAUCAGUUAGCAGAGUAUUUGGAUCAAGUACCUACGAAUAAAGCCAGAUACCAGAGGUUAGUUUUUCAGGUGGACUUGGGUGCAUCUGCAAUAUCACAUUUGAGUCGACUUGCAGGUAUCAAUCAAGGUUGAAGACUGGCAAAAUUGUCCUUAUGGUUUUCUUGUUUCUUCUUUCACCGCCUCGUCUGCCCACAUCCUUCGCUCUCUCACCCAUAUCGUCAAAGCCCAGGGUCUCCCUAAUCUCAAUUGCUAGAGCCAUUUGGAAUUGAUAUCUGCGGGGACUUGAUGUCUGUUUCGAGUUAGCCCAGGGUUCUCUAAAUAUCAUCACCAUCUCAGGCCGAGUAUCUGAAGCUAAUGGGGAAGGAGAAACACUUUGCAUGAUUCAAUUGUUUGGGAAUCUACUAUGCCGCAGAAUGGGGAAAUAUUGCAUUUCUAUAUUGUAGAUUGUUUGAAUGGGGAGUGCUUACACUCCAUUUGCGGUUUUAGUUAUAAAGCAAGGGGAUUUAUGUGAUUGUAAACAUUUGGUGACAGUAAGAACCAUGACUCAGGAACAGGUGUAUUCUAAUUACGCAUUUCACCACUCUUAUUGCUUUUGUCAGUGUAUAUACUAUAUUAGGUGAUUGUAGACAUUUGGAACAUGAUAAAGUUCAUACUUCAUAUGCCUCAAACAGCUUUGGAUUCAGGCUGAACUGGUGUAGUGCCUAUACUUAGUUCUGCCACUUACAUUUAUUCGUUUAAGAAACUAGUUAUUGACUUAUUGCUGUUGAAGUUUGAUGAGCAUAGUUCUUAAUUAACAGGACUUAACUUCCUUCUUGAUUGGUUUUUAUUUUUAUUUUUAUAAUUUAGAUUGAAGAGCUGGACCCAAAAA